GUAUAAGAGACAGCAGCAGCCACGGUAAUACAGAGGGUGCGAGCGUUAAUCGGAUUUACUGGGCGUAAAGCGUGCGUAGGCGGCUUCUUAAGUCGGAUGUGAAAUCCCUGAGCUUAACUUAGGAAUUGCAUUCGAUACUGGGAAGCUAGAGUAUGGGAGAGGAUGGUAGAAUUCCAGGUGUAGCGGUGAAAUGCGUAGAGAUCUGGAGGAAUACCGAUGGCGAAGGCAGCCAUCUGGCCUAAUACUGACGCUGAGGUACGAAAGCAUGGGGAGCAAACAGGAUUAGAUACCCGGGUAGUCCCUGUCUCUUAUAC
rnacentral:rRNA from 1 species